rnacentral:rRNA from 1 species
GAUGAACGCUGGCGGCGUGCCUAAUACAUGCAAGUCGAGCGAACGGACGAGAAGCUUGCUUCUCUGAUGUUAGCGGCGGACGGGUGAGUAACACGUGGAUAACCUACCUAUAAGACUGGGAUAAUUUCGGGAAACCGGAGCUAAUACCGGAUAAUAUUUUGAACCGCAUGGUUCAAAAGUGAAAGACGGUCUUGCUGUCACUUAUAGAUGGAUCCGCGCUGCAUUAGCUAGUUGGUAAGGUAACGGCUUACCAAGGCAACGAUGCAUAGCCGACCUGAGAGGGUGAUCGGCCACACUGGAACUGAGACACGGUCCAGACUCCUACGGGAGGCAGCAGUAGGGAAUCUUCCGCAAUGGGCGAAAGCCUGACGGAGCAACGCCGCAUGAGUGAUGAAGGUCUUCGGAUCGUAAAACUCUGUUAUUAGGGAAGAACAUAUGUGUAAGUAACUGUGCACAUCUUGACGGUACCUAAUCAGAAAGCCACGGCUAACUACGUG